CACGUAGGGCGCAAGCGUUGUCCGGAAUUAUUGGGCGUAAAGAGCUCGUAGGCGGUUCGUCGCGUCGGCUGUGAAAACCUGAGGCUCAACCUCAGGCCUGCAGUCGAUACGGGCGGACUUGAGUACUGCAGGGGAGACUGGAAUUCCUGGUGUAGCGGUGAAAUGCGCAGAUAUCAGGAGGAACACCGAUGGCGAAGGCAGCUCGCUGGGACGGUACUGACGCUGAGACGCGAAAGCGUGGGAGCAAACAGG
rnacentral:rRNA from 1 species